rnacentral:rRNA from 1 species
AUUGAACGCUGGCGGCAGGCUUAACACAUGCAAGUCGAACGAGUGGCGGACGGGUGAGUAAUGCUUGGGAAUCUAGCUUAUGGAGGGGGAUAACUACGGGAAACUGUAGCUAAUACCGCGUACCAUAGGAUGAGCCCACGUGGGAUUAGGUAGUUGGUGAGGUAAAGGCUCACCAAGCCGACGAUCUCUAGCUGGUCUGAGAGGAUGACCAGGCAACCUUGGACCGAGACACGGCCCAGACCCCCACGGGAGGCAGGAGUGGGGAAUAUUGCGGAAAUGGGGCAACCUGACGCAGCCAUGCCGCGUGAAUGAAGAAGGCCUUCGGGUUGUAAAGUUCUUUCGGUAGCGAGGCGUUAACUACAGAAGAAGCACCGGCUAACUCCGUGCCAGCAGCCGCGGUAAUAC